rnacentral:rRNA from 1 species
UACGUAGGGAGCAAGCGUUGUUCGGAUUUACUGGGCGUAAAGGGCGCGUAGGCGGCGUGUCAAGUCGAUUGUGAAAUCUCCGGGCUUAACUCGGAACGGCCAAUCGAUACUGACGUGCUAGAGUGCAGAAAGGGCAAUCGGAAUUCUUGGUGUAGCGGUGAAAUGCGUAGAUAUCAAGAGGAACACCUGAGGCGAAGGCGGGUUGCUAGGCUGACACUGGCGCUGAGUGCGCGAAAGCCAGGGGGGCAAACGGG